UUUGCAUGCCAUAACAGCAAUUUGUGAAUGAGAGUAUAUAUAUAUACAUACGCUCUCAUUCACAAAUUGCUGUUAUGGCAUGCAAA